CGGGCUACCUGCAGUCGAGCGGAGUGACUGGUGCUUGCCUAUCUCUUAGCGGCGGACGGGUGAGUAAUGCUUGAGAAUCUGCCUAUCAGUGGGGGACGGAGUUUCAAAGGGAAUGCUAAUACCGCAAACGUCCUACGGGAGAAAGCAGGAGAUCUUCGGACCUUGCGCUCAUACAUGAACCUAAGUCGAAUUAGCUAGAUUGGUGGGGUAAAGGCCUACCCAGCGCAACGAUCUGUAGCGGGUCUGAUAGGAUGAUCCGCCACACUGCCACUGAGACACAGCCCAGACUCCUACAGGAGGCAGCAGUGGGGAAGAGUGGACAAUGGGCGCAAGCCUGAUCCAGCCAUGCCGCGUGUGUGAAUAAGGCCUUAUGGUUGUAAAGCACUUUAAGCGAGGAGGAGGCUACUGAAGUUAAUACCUUCAGACAGUGGACGUUACUCGCAGAAUAAGCACCGGCUAACUCUGUGCCACCAGCCGCGGUAAUACAGAGGGUGCAGGCGUUAAUCGGAUUUACUGGGCGUAGAGCGCGCGUAGGCGGCUAAUUAACUCAAAUGUGAAAUCCCCGAGCUUAGCUUGGGAAUUGCAUUCGAUACUGGUUAACUAGAGUGUGGGAGAGGAUGGUAGAAUUCCAGGUGUAGCGGUGAAAUGCGUAGAGAUCUGGAGGAAUACCGAUGGCGAAUGCAGCCAUCUGGUCUAACACUGACGCUGAGGUGCGAAAGCAUGGGGAGCGAACAGGAUUCGAUACCCUGUUAGUCGAUGCCCUAAACGAUGUCUACUACCCGUUGGGGCCUUUGAGGCAUUAGUGGCGCAGCUCACGCGAUAAGUAGACAGCCUGGGGAGUACGGUCGCACGACUACAACUCUAAUGAUCUGACGGGGGCACGCACAACCGCUCGAGCAUGUGGGUUUAAUUCUAUGCAUCGCGCAAAACCUUACAUGGUCUUGAGUCAUUAGAGCUUUCAAAGAUGGAUGGUGCCUCGUGAAUUACUACAGGGCUGCGUGCUGUCGCAGUCGUGUCUGAGACGUGGGUUAAUCCUGAACCAGGGAACCUUUUCCUAUUGCCACGAGCAUGCGGGAACUUAAGAUCUGCAUGACAACUGAAGAAGGAGGAAGACUCAAUCUCAGGCCUUCGGCAGGCUCCACUGCACAUGUCGUACAAGGUCUACUCCGAAG
rnacentral:rRNA from 1 species